UAUAAGACCUGGCCAUGAUACCCCACAGCCUGGCCUACCACUGUGUCAGCUCGAAUAGAGACCUACAUUUUCAUUUCAGUGCCAAGAAUGCUGCCAAAACAAGAGUGCCUCUGCAGUCAGACAAACCUGAGGUCUGAGCUCAGCCUUCAUAGUGACAGCUCCAUGAGCCAGCAUGGGUUCCAAAGUCUUCCUAAGCUUAAGCUUUGCUGUCUAUGGAAAGCUGACAUUCCACAUGCUUAAAAGGAUUGAAUAUAAAAGUAUAAAACUGCCUAGGGUUAUGCCUGACAUAAAGGAAGUGCUUGAUAAAUUACACUGCUUAAUGCUGUUACUAAAUUAAGCUCUUGUGGAGUUAAAAGACUGAGCAAAUAAAAGACUAGUUGUGGCUGAGCUUGGGUGAAUAUGCUUUCAUGAAUCCAAAUGUGUAAUGAACUGAUUUUUCUAGUCACAACAGUUCCUAGAAGGCAAAACCAAAGAGUAGGAACUGGAUCUUCCACAGGGCCCUGUGUAGGAGCUCCACACUGCAGCAAUGUUCUGUAUAGCCCUGGUCUCUCAUCAAGGUCUGCUAUCUGAGUCUCAGCCAUCCUCGGAGCUUGCCCACCUCUUUGCUGGCUGCUGGCCCCAUGAUCUGCCUACACUGUUUAAUAGCUUUUUGUUAAUUCUCUGUCUGCAUAAAUAUGUAGACCUUCCUGGCAGCCUGUGCUCAUCUGACAGAUCUCAGAGUAAUGACGUGUGACGGGUGUUGUCAGAGGCAGGGAGAGCUACCCAGCUGUGAGUUAUUGAGCUGGAUACCUUGGCCUGGGCUUCUCGUUGUAUGCAUCACCUCAUGUAUGGUUUUCCAAGUAAGCAGGGCUUCUUCUGGUCUUCCUUUCUGAGCUUUAGAGUUGUGAACGUUAGAAGAGGCUAAGCCAGAGAUCAUCACAGCCUCACUGGUUUCACACCUUCCUGUCCUUGUGUGCUCACUUGCAAUCAGCUCCCACCUCUCUAAGCUUGAUCCUGCUUCUAGGACCUGAUGAUUUUCUGCUUCCAAUGAAGUUAAUUGAGAACUAACUUAACAAGGGUAUUCAGAAGUUUAGGGAAGAACACCUGGGCUAAUACCCACUUGCAUCCCACCCCUGUGGACUAGAUAUAGUUUAUGGCCUCCACUUGCAGUUUAAAGUCCAGCACCUACCCAUGGAAAAAUCCUCCACUAUUUAUAUUUGGGUGGGUAGAAAAAGGAGAAUUUAUAAAUACUCCAUUUUAUUCAUUAUACAUUUUAAAAAAUCUGUUCACAAAGUCGAAAUCAAAGGGUUAAAAUGUCUGUAUUUACUCACAUUUUGCUCAACUCAAUUUUCCAGAUCUAACAUAUCUUCCAAAAAUGGAGUCAUGAUUCUUCCAAUAAAGUUGUAACCCAAAGAAUAUUGCUCUCUCUUUGGUCUCCAAGCUGAUUUGUGUCUCUGGGGGCAAUAUUUUCUCAGCAGUGAUUGAAAUCUGUAUCUUCAUUGAGAAGGUUACCGUUCAUCCUCUUGCUUCCUUCCUAAAGUCAGGCAUGAGGGACACUAAUCCCUAAUUACCAGUGACAGCAGCAGCACUUCUGUCUCCUCCACUUACCGUUCUCCACUCUGCAGAAGAUGGUGCACUGCCGUCUGAUUUCCUUUCUCAGUGCAAGCUUAAAUGUGACGUCUUCAUGCCCCUCCUUACAUCUUUCAACUUUUGCACUGUUUAAAAUGCAGGAGUCUGAAUUGCCUUAAGUAGUUUCUCAGGAUACUUCAGUAUAAUCCGGUGGAGGAAUGUGAAAAUUUAAUUACUGUGUUCCCAAAUAAUUUUAAACCCCCAAAUAAAAUAACUAUAAUACUGGAGAGGAGUCACCUUUGCAGUAAUGUGUUGUACUGAUGGAAGAGGAAGGUGUGGCUUCUGUCAAAAUGCUCAGUCCCCGUGGGAGGUGAGGGAAAGACUCGUUCACCUUCUGGUUGCAAGAGCUGCAUACUGCAGCUGUGGGCACUCUAACACUGGUGAGAAAAUACAAACAGGAGCAAAGAAGGCCAUAGCUCACUUCC
rnacentral:lncRNA from 1 species